rnacentral:rRNA from 1 species
AAAAAACCAAAAGUAGGAAAAGGAACCAACAGGGAUUGCCUCAGUAACGGCGAGUGAAGCGGCAAAAGCUCAAAUUUGAAAUCCCCCCGGGGAGUUGUAAUUUGAAGAUUGCGUCUUGGAGGCGACCGUGUCUAUGUUCCUUGGAACAGGACGUCACAGAGGGUGAGAAUCCCGUGCGGCACGGCCCCCGGCUCCUUAUAAGGCGCUCUCGACGAGUCGAGUUGUUUGGGAAUGCAGCUCAAAGUGGGUGGUAAAUUCCAUCUAAAGCUAAAUACAGGCGAGAGACCGAUAGCGAACAAGUACAGUGAUGGAAAGAUGAAAAGCACUUUGAAAAGAGAGUGAAACAGCACGUGAAAUUGUUGAAAGGGAAGGGCAUGCCGUCAGAUUGUCAGUGUGGGUAAGAAGCGGGGUACAAAGACUGUGGAACGUGGCCCUCGGGUGUUAUAGCCGCAGUUCAUGCCCCGUCUCUUUCCGAGGCCUGCUUUGAGGACACCGACGUAAUGACGGUACGCCGCCCGUCUUAAAAACCGGGACCAAA